rnacentral:rRNA from 1 species
AUUGAACGCUGGCGGCAGGCUUAACACAUGCAAGUCGAGCGGGGAAUGGUAGCUUGCUACCUGACCUAGCGGCGGACGGGUGAGUAAUGCUUAGGAAUCUGCCUAUUAGUGGGGGACAACAUUCCGAAAGGAAUGCUAAUACCGCAUACGCCCUACGGGGGAAAGCAGGGGAUCUUCGGACCUUGCGCUAAUAGAUGAGCCUAAGUCAGAUUAGCUAGUUGGUGGGGUAAAGGCCUACCAAGGCGACGAUCUGUAGCGGGUCUGAGAGGAUGAUCCGCCACACUGGGACUGAGACACGGCCCAGACUCCUACGGGAGGCAGCAGUGGGGAAUAUUGGACAAUGGGCGAAAGCCUGAUCCAGCCAUGCCGCGUGUGUGAAGAAGGCCUUUUGGUUGUAAAGCGCUUUAAGCGAGGAGGAGGCUACUUGGAUUAAUACUCUAGGAUAGUGGACGUUACUCGCAGAAUAAGCACCGGCUAACUCUGUGCCAGCAGCCGCGGUAAUACAGAGGGUGCGAGCGUUAAUCGGAUUUACUGGGCGUAAAGCGUGCGUAGGCGGCUUUUUAAGUCGGAUGUGAAAUCCCUGAGCUUAACUUAGGAAUUGCAUUCGAUACUGGGAAGCUAGAGUAUGGGAGAGGAUGGUAGAAUUCCAGGUGUAGCGGUGAAAUGCGUAGAGAUCUGGAGGAAUACCGAUGGCGAAGGCAGCCAUCUGGCCUAAUACUGACGCUGAGGUACGAAAGCAUGGGGAGCAAACAGGAUUAGAUACCCUGGUAGUCCAUGCCGUAAACGAUGUCUACUAGCCGUUGGGGCCUUUGAGGCUUUAGUGGCGCAGCUAACGCGAUAAGUAGACCGCCUGGGGAGUACGGUCGCAAGACUAAAACUCAAAUGAAUUGACGGGGGCCCGCACAAGCGGUGGAGCAUGUGGUUUAAUUCGAUGCAACGCGAAGAACCUUACCUGGUCUUGACAUAGUAAGAACUUUCCAGAGAUGGAUUGGUGCCUUCGGGAACUUACAUACAGGUGCUGCAUGGCUGUCGUCAGCUCGUGUCGUGAGAUGUUGGGUUAAGUCCCGCAACGAGCGCAACCCUUUUCCUUAUUUGCCAGCGGGUUAAGCCGGGAACUUUAAGGAUACUGCCAGUGACAAACUGGAGGAAGGCGGGGACGACGUCAAGUCAUCAUGGCCCUUACGACCAGGGCUACACACGUGCUACAAUGGUCGGUACAAAGGGUUGCUACCUAGCGAUAGGAUGCUAAUCUCAAAAAGCCGAUCGUAGUCCGGAUUGGAGUCUGCAACUCGACUCCAUGAAGUCGGGAUCGCUAGUAAUCGCGGAUCAGAAUGCCGCGGUGAAUACGUUCCCGGGCCU